GGCGGCGUGCUUAACACAUGCAAGUCGAACGGAAAGGCCCUGCUUUUGUGGGGUGCUCGAGUGGCGAACGGGUGAGUAACACGUGAGUAACCUGCCCUUGACUUUGGGAUAACUUCAGGAAACUGGGGCUAAUACCGGAUAGGAGCUCCUGCUGCAUGGUGGGGGUUGGAAAGUUUCGGCGGUUGGGGAUGGACUCGCGGCUUAUCAGCUUGUUGGUGGGGUAGUGGCUUACCAAGGCUUUGACGGGUAGCCGGCCUGAGAGGGUGACCGGCCACAUUGGGACUGAGAUACGGCCCAGACUCCUACGGGAGGCAGCAGUGGGGAAUAUUGCACAAUGGGCGGAAGCCUGAUGCAGCAACGCCGCGUGCGGGAUGACGGCCUUCGGGUUGUAAACCGCUUUCGCCUGUGACGAAGCGUGAGUGACGGUAAUGGGUAAAGAAGCACCGGCUAACUACGUGCCAGCAGCCGCGGUGAUACGUAGGGUGCGAGCGUUGUCCGGAUUUAUUGGGCGUAAAGGGCUCGUAGGUGGUUGAUCGCGUCGGAAGUGUAAUCUUGGGGCUUAACCCUGAGCGUGCUUUCGAUACGGGUUGACUUGAGGAAGGUAGGGGAGAAUGGAAUUCCUGGUGGAGCGGUGGAAUGCGCAGAUAUCAGGAGGAACACCAGUGGCGAAGGCGGUUCUCUGGGCCUUUCCUGACGCUGAGGAGCGAAAGCGUGGGGAGCGAACAGGCUUAGAUACCCUGGUAGUCCACGCUGUAAACGGUGGGUACUAGGUGUGGGGUCCAUUCCACGGGUUCCGUGCCGUAGCUAACGCUUUAAGUACCCCGCCUGGGGAGUACGGCCGCAAGGCUAAAACUCAAAGGAAUUGACGGGGCCCCGCACAAGCGGCGGAGCAUGCGGAUUAAUUCGAUGCAACGCGUAGAACCUUACCUGGGUUUGACAUGGAUCGGGAGUGCUCAGAGAUGGGUGUGCCUCUUUUGGGGUCGGUUCACAGGUGGUGCAUGGCUGUCGUCAGCUCGUGUCGUGAGAUGUUGGGUUAAGUCCCGCAACGAGCGCAACCCUUGUUCACUGUUGCCAGCACGUUAUGGUGGGGACUCAGUGGAGACCGCCGGGGUCAACUCGGAGGAAGGUGGGGAUGACGUCAAGUCAUCAUGCCCCUUAUGUCCAGGGCUUCACGCAUGCUACAAUGGCUGGUACAGAGAGUGGCGAGCCUGUGAGGGUGAGCGAAUCUCAGAAAGCCGGUCUCAGUUCGGAUUGGGGUCUGCAACUCGACCUCAUGAAGUCGGAGUCGCUAGUAAUCGCAGAUCAGCAACGCUGCGGUGAAUACGUUCCCGGGGCUUGUACACACCGCCCGUCAAGUCAUGAAAGUUGGUAACACCCGAAGCCGGUGGCCUAACCGUUGUGGGGGAGCCGUCGAAGGUGGGACUGGUGAUUAGGG
rnacentral:rRNA from 1 species